UGGGGAAUAUUGGACAAUGGGCGAAAGCCUGAUCCAGCCAUGCCGCGUGUGUGAAGAAGGUCUUCGGAUUGUAAAGCACUUUAAGUUGGGAGGAAGGGCAUUAACCUAAUACGUUAGUGUUUUGACGUUACCGACAGAAUAAGCACCGGCUAACUCUGUGCCAGCAGCGGUAAUACAGAGGGUGCAAGCGUUAAUCGGAAUUACUGGGCGUAAAGCGCGCGUAGGUGGUUUGUUAAGUUGGAUGUGAAAUCCCCGGGCUCAACCUGGGAACUGCAUUCAAAACUGACUGACUAGAGUAUGGUAGAGGGUGGUGGAAUUUCCUGUGUAGCGGUGAAAUGCGUAGAUAUAGGAAGGAACACCAGUGGCGAAGGCGACCACCUGGACUAAUACUGACACUGAGGUGCGAAAGCGUGGGGAGCAAACA
rnacentral:rRNA from 1 species